rnacentral:rRNA from 1 species
CCUACGUGUGGCUGCAGUGGGGAAUAUUGGACAAUGGGCGAAAGCCUGAUCCAGCCAUGCCGCGUGUGUGAAGAAGGCCUUCGGGUUGUAAAACACUUUCAGUGGGGAAGAAAGCCUUGGGGCUAAUACCCUCGAGGAAGGACAUCACCCACAGAAGAAGCACCGGCUAACUCCGUGCCAGCAGCCGCGGUAAUACGGAGGGGUGCGAGCGUUAAUCGGAAUUACUGGGCGUAAAGCGCGCGUAGGCGGUCUGAUAAGCCGGUUGUGAAAGCCCCGGGCUCAACCUGGGAACGGCAUCCGGAACUGUCAGGCUAGAGUGCAGGAGAGGAAGGUAGAAUUCCCGGUGUAGCGGUGAAAUGCGUAGAGAUCGGGAGGAAUACCAGUGGCGAAGGCGGCCUUCUGGACUGACACUGACGCUGAGGUGCGAAAGCGUGGGUAGCAAACAGGAUUAGAUACCCUGGUAGUC